AUUGAACGCUGGCGGCAUGGCUAAAACAUGCAAGUCGAACGCGAAAGGGAGCAAUCCCAAGUAGAGUGGCGAAAGGGCGAGGAAUAAAUUCCUACGUACCCCAAGGUCGGGGAUACCUCGGAGAAAUCCGAAUCAAUACCCGAUGUGGUCCGAAAGGAUCAAAGGCUUGCUGCCUUGGGAGCGGGGAAUUUCCUAUCAGGUAGUUGGUAGGGUAACGGCCUACCAAGCCUAAGACGGGUAGCGGGUGUGAGAGCACGGCCCGCCGCAUCGAGACUGAGACGCUGCUCGGACUCCUACGGGAGGCUGCAGUAACGAAUCUUCCGCAAUGCGCGAAAGCGUGACGGGGCAAUGCCGCGUGUGGGAUGAAGCCCUUCGGGUGUAACCACUGUCAGGUGCAGAACACAAUGACAUACCCAAAGAAGCACCGGCUAACUCUGUGCCAGCAG
rnacentral:rRNA from 1 species